rnacentral:rRNA from 1 species
GACGAACGCUGGCGGCGUGCUUAACACAUGCAAGUCGAACGAAGUGGCGAACGGGUGAGUAACGCGUAAUCAACCUGCCCUUCAGAGGGGGACAACAGUUGGAAACGACUUCUAAUACCGCAUACUGAAGGUGGGGAUUGGGUCUGCUUAGCUCGUUGGAGGGGUAACGGCCCACCAAGGCGAUGAUCAGUAGCCUGUCGGAGAGGAUGAACGGCAACAGUGGGACUGAGACACGGCCCAGACUCCUACGGGAGGCAGCAGUGGGGAAGCUGCCGCAAGGUACGAAAGUCUGACGGAGCAACGCCGCGUGAGGGAUGACGGCGUUCGAGUUGUAAAGCGCUGUUAAUCGGGACGCGGUACCGGAAUAGAAAGCCACGGCUAACUACGUGCCAGCAGCCGCGGUAAUUC